UAAACGACUCUCGGCAACGGAUAUCUCGGCUCUCGCAUCGAUGAAGAACGUAGCGAAAUGCGAUACUUGGUGUGAAUUGCAGAAUCCCGCGAACCAUCGAGUCUUUGAACGCAAGUUGCGCCCGAAGCCAUUAGGUUGAGGGCAUGUCUGCCUGGGCGUCUCAC
rnacentral:rRNA from 1 species